rnacentral:rRNA from 1 species
AACGAACGCUGGCGGCAGGCUUAACACAUGCAAGUCGAACGCAUCGCAAGAUGAGUGGCAGACGGGUGAGUAACGCGUGGGAACAUACCCUUUUCUACGGAAUAGCUCUGGGAAACUGGAAUUAAUACCGUAUACGCCCUACGGGGGAAAGAUUUAUCGGGGAAGGAUUGGCCCGCGUUGGAUUAGCUUGUUGGUGGGGUAAAGGCCUACCAAGGCGACGAUCCAUAGCUGGUCUGAGAGGAUGAUCAGCCACAUUGGGACUGAGACACGGCCCAAACUCCUACGGGAGGCAGCAGUGGGGAAUAUUGGACAAUGGGCGCAAGCCUGAUCCAGCCAUGCCGCGUGAGUGAUGAAGGCCUUAGGGUUGUAAAGCUCUUUCACCGAUGAAGAUAAUGACGGUAGUCGGAGAAGAAGCCCCGGCUAACUUCGUGCCAGCAGCCGCGGUAAAAC